GUGCUCGCUUCAGCAGCACAUAUACUAAAAUUAGAACGAUACAGAAAAGAUUAGCAUGGCCCCUGUGCAAGGAUGACACGCAAAUUUGUGAAGCGUUCCACGUUUUU
ensembl:snRNA U6 U6 spliceosomal RNA